UACGUAGGGUGCUAGCGUUGCUCGGAAUUACUGGGCGUAAAGCGCACGUAGGCGGAUUGUUAAGUCGGGUGUGAAAUCUCGGAGCUUAACUCCGAAACUGCAUUCGAUACUGCCGUGCUUGAGGACUGGAGAGGAGACUGGAAUUUACGGUGUAGCGGUGAAAUGCGUAGAUAUCGUAAGGAAGACCAGUGGCGAAGGCGGGUCUCUGGACAGUUCCUGACGCUGAGGCACGAAGGCCAGGGGAGCAAACGGG
rnacentral:rRNA from 1 species